GAUGAAGAACGCAGCGAAAUGCGAUAAGUAAUGUGAAUUGCAGAAUUCAGUGAAUCAUCGAAUCUUUGAACGCACAUUGCGCCCCCUGGUUUUCCGGGGGGCAUGCCUGUCCGAGCGUCAUUACAACCCUCAAGCUCAGCUUGGUGUUGGGCCCCGCCGCCCCGGCGGGCCCUAAAGUCAGUGGCGGUGCCGUCCGGCUCCGAGCGUAGUAAUUCUUCUCGCUCUGGAGGUCCGGUCGUGUGCUCGCCAGCAACCCCCAAUUUUUUUCAGGUUGACCUCGGAUCAGGUAGGGAUACCCGCUGAACUUAAGCAUAUCAAUAAGCGGAGGA
rnacentral:misc_RNA from 1 species